rnacentral:rRNA from 1 species
CCUACGGGUGGCAGCAGUGAGGAAUAUUGGUCAAUGGGCGCGAGCCUGAACCAGCCAAGUAGCGUGAAGGAUGACGGCCCUACGGGUUGUAAACUUCUUUUAUAAGGGAAUAAAGUGCGGCACGUGUGCCUUUUUGUAUGUACUUUAUGAAUAAGGAUCGGCUAACUCCGUGCCAGCAGCCGCGGUAAUCCGGAGGAUCCGAGCGUUAUCCGGAUUUAUUGGGUUGAAAGGGAGCGUAGAGGGGUUGUUAAGUCAGUUGUGAAAGGUUGCGGCUCAACCGUGAAAUUGCAAUUGAUACUGGCAGGCUGGAGUACAGUAGAGGUAGGCGGAAUGCGGGGUGUAGCGGUGAAAUGCUUAGAUAUCACGAAGAACUCCGAUUGCGAAGGCAGCUUACUAAACUGCCACUGACAUUGAUGCUCGAAAGCGUGGGUAUCAAACAGGAUUAGAUACCCCGGUAGUC